rnacentral:lncRNA from 1 species
CAUGAGCUGACUGUCACUUUCUGUCCUCUUAGACAUACCGGAGAAUGCUGACAACAAACUUGCACAAGAUGCCCAAAAACACACAUCAGAGAGCAUGGAGUCGGUGGAAGAAAGAAAAUGGAGACGCAUUUCUGCAAUACUCAAAAGAAUGGAAUGCAAGCAAGCCAUGUGCCCUUCUGAGGUGAGGCAACUACAAGGCUGUACAAUUCUUUCACCUAAAACAAGAGGAAAGAGUGAUAAAGGUUGAAGAUCCAGAAGGAAGGCCACACAUUUGUACUAAGCCAUGGCUCUCCGCUCCUUUUGGAUAAAACUCCAAUUUUGAGUCAGGUAUUUAAAAGAGACUCUCUCUCUCUCUCUCUCUCUCUCUCUCUCUCUCUCUCUCUCUCUCUCAAGCUGCUUCUGUCAGAAUUUGAUCACAAUGAAAAGAAUAUAAUAUAGUAGCCAAAGGUGAAAAAUAGGAGGUUGUACAAUAUUCUAUAUUUCCCAGCUCAGUUAAUUCAAUACUAUAUGUUCUCCAUGACUUGUAAAAGCUAUGAUUAGGGAAAAAAAUGAAAACUCAACAACAGUCAUGUUCACCGAUCUGGAUCCAGUGGAACACUCACUCUGAGUUCAGUCACCAGACUCUACCUAAAUUCCUCUGGUAUUUAACAAAACUCAUUUCUGACAAACAUCUGAUAUUUAACAAAGAGCAUUUCUGCUA